CAGUAGCCACGGUAAUACGUAGGUGGCAAGCGUUGUCCGGAAUUAUUGGGCGUAAAGGGCUCGCAGGCGGUUUCUUAAGUCUGAUGUGAAAGCCCCCGGCUCAACCGGGGAGGGUCAUUGGAAACUGGGAAACUUGAGUGCAGAAGAGGAGAGUGGAAUUCCACGUGUAGCGGUGAAAUGCGUAGAGAUGUGGAGGAACACCAGUGGCGAAGGCGACUCUCUGGUCUGUAACUGACGCUGAGGAGCGAAAGCGUGGGGAGCGAACAGGAUUAGAGACCCGCGUAGUCCCUGUCUCUUAUAC
rnacentral:rRNA from 1 species